rnacentral:rRNA from 1 species
AAACCAACAGGGAUUGCCUUAGUAGCGGCGAGUGAAGCGGCAAAAGCUCAAAUUUGAAAUCUGGCGCCUUCGGUGUCCGAGUUGUAAUUUGAAGAUUGUAACCUUGGGGUUGGCUCUUGUCUAUGUUUCUUGGAACAGGACGUCACAGAGGGUGAGAAUCCCGUGCGAUGAGAUGCCCAAUUCUAUGUAAGGUGCUUUCGAAGAGUCGAGUUGUUUGGGAAUGCAGCUCUAAGUGGGUGGUAAAUUCCAUCUAAAGCUAAAUAUUGGCGAGAGACCGAUAGCGAACAAGUACAGUGAUGGAAAGAUGAAAAGAACUUUGAAAA